ensembl:lncRNA
AGAGGCUGGGAACGGGAGAGGAUCCGCCAUUAUUGGGAAGCUGAAAAACCCCGCACUUACGCACGCACACACACACACACACACACACUCCGCCACAAAUGAGUGUAUUUUGCGUCGCGUCAGCUCGGAUCUGUUUUCUGCGGAUAAAAAUCUGCGCUUUUGUCGCUGUAGAGUUUUAGCGCAGUGUCCGACUGAAACGUUUAACAACAACAACAAAAAAGAGGAGACUGAGAAGUCGGGAUGUUUUUGGGGCACAACAAAGGAAAUAAGAAGAAGUGGUGAAAAGAGCGUGCUGGACGCAGGGAACUCUCUCUCUCUCUCUCUCUCUCUCUCUCUCUCUCUCUCUCUCUCUUUCUCUACGCCCCCCUCCUUUCCCAGCAGUAACACAGGGAGAGAUCCGGACAUUCCGGCUUGUUUUUCUUCACUGUUUGAUUCGUCUGUUUCACUAACAAUAACAGCAACACAGGCACUAAAACGCUCUGAAAACUUUGUUUCAUGGAUUCAUCAUUGUGAGAAGAGUAUUGUUAGACGGACAGCUACAGGAAAAAAGGGAGAUAAUGAAAUUAAUGUGACUAGGGGAGAAGAGUUAUUUCUGCUGUUACUGAAUCUAAAGGGAGAGAAAAACGAGUGAAAGAGUCGAGGAGUGGAGAAGACAGACAGGAAUGCUGUGUUUCUUCCAACAGGGCAAGAGGAAAUAGAUUCCUGUUUAUUUAGUUCCACCUCCAUUAGCUGCUAAAAUGUUAUCUCUGCAAUCGGCUUGAAGUUGCCACUCUUGCAUGGCUGUAUCCUGCCCCCAGUGACUUGGUCCAGAUACAGUAUGUCCUUUUUGUUUUUUGUUAUUUUUAUUAUUAUUUUUUAAACGGCUGUUUGGGUGACCUGUCUGGCUUUGUAGAAAAGCACAGCAAAAAGCUAUUACAAAAGUGAAAACAAUCAGGAAACACCUAGUAUGUUAUAUUGAAGUUGUAUAGAUACUGGCGCCUGUGGGCAACUGACCCCAAAGGAUUUUGAAAAGAAAUAUCAAUCUGUUACUUUGCAUGAUUUUAGAAUUGAACAUAAAACCUAAUUACUGUCACUUAAAGGUUUACCAAUUAAACAUUUACUCAUUAAUUUAAUCGAAAAGGUUCAAAAGUGUAUCUUAUUUCAAUUAGAGGAAAACAUUUACUGUAAAAACGAAGAGAUGGGCUAUUCUUUGUGCAAGAAACAAUCACUACCCAAUCUUCACCAUGCAUGUUGGAGACGAAAUAAGUGAAGGAAAAGUUCAGCAUAUAGAUUAUUUUGCUAGACACAACAAUUAUGUUGAACAAUUAGAAAAAAACAUGACUAUGUACUGAUAUGGUGUACUGUGCUGCUUCUUUUAAAGUACUGUAGCUUUCACAUAUGCCUUACUGCAGUCAUAACAAUCACAAGAGGGACACUUCCACAAAAGAAAUCGACUUUAAAACAAAUAAAUUGCAGUUUCUUUUCAGAAUCAUUUGUUUUUCAUCUAGAAAUUGAAUUGAAUAAUUUAUUGCUUAUAACUACAGCGAGGAACGUCAUGUUUAUUAAAAAAAAACAACUAAAAGACCAGUUUUCUUUCUUUCUUUUUAAGGCUGUUGCACACCAGAACCUUUUCUUUUCAUUUUUGUGUGCAAGACUGUCAGGGGGAAAACAUCAUUUAUGUCGCAUACCUUUAGUUUUGAAGUUAAUUUUAUAGUUUGUUAAUGUUAAAGUCGGUGGAAGAGAGCUUGUAUCUGCUCUAUCAAGAGUUUAAAAUCUAAAACAAGCAGUUGCAGACAUGGAUCUGAAAAAAAAGGCAUGAAUUAUGUGCGAUGCAUGAAAAAUCAUUUAAGUUUUCGGUUUAACAAAUCGGUUGUUAAUAUUUAGCACCUGGUGACCUGAUAUUUCCUGUAUAUAUAUAUUUUUUAAAUUGUUGUUGUUUGUUUACUUGUCUUACUUAGCUUACUGUUGGGUCUCUUACUAUAAUCUACUUUUACUUAGAUAUUAAAAAGAUUUUAAAAAGUGAGUCAAAGAUCAAACUUAUGACUAAACCCAGUCUCAAGAUGUAUGUAUGUCUCAUGAGUCAAGAUUAAGUCAAGUAGAGGAAUUAAAGUAAAGUUUGCCACAUAGCACACUUACUAAAUUAUAGUUGUGUGUCUUGGGGAGGAACAGAGGCGUUUUAUCAAGUAGGAAAAAAAAAUCCCACAAGAAACAUGUCAGCGCUGGAAUGCUGAUGGUCCAGAGUGUUCAUGCUUCUGACUGGUUUUGUCUUCCUUGCUGUCAGUUUGAUGCUGCAACUUGCCUGCUGUGUGUGUUGACGAAACAGGGCUAGGUCAGAGGAGUUGCAGUACACGAGUUUGGGAGCCAUGUUGUCUUCAUGUAGUUUUCUUCUCACAGUGAUUGUGACUAGCCUUUCUGUGACCCAAAGAUUUGCUGACGUUUAGUAAUAUGAACGCUCUCUCUCUCUCUCUCUCUCUUUCUCUCUCUCUCACACACACUCUCUAAUCUCUCACACUUCCUGUAGUCUCCCAUAGUGUAGACCUUGUUGCACAGCAGAUCCUGGAUCGGGGCUUCAGAGGUCAAAGGUGAUAGUUGUGUCCGCAGUGGGCCUGUAGUUAUUCCGAAGGCGGCUAGCUGUCCUGGGAUUAGGGCUGAACAGGAGGAAAUAAACAUGGUGUUCUGAAUUUGUUGCGGCUUUUUCCACAUCAAUGUAAAAAUCCAGGCAUAAAUCUCUGGUUUUGGGUUUGGAUCUUGAUGGGACUUUUGUUUACCGGAAAGCUCGUUUCCCAAUGGUACUUGCUCGGAUUUAAAAAAAAAUGGUUCCCCCGUUUGUGUCCUCUCCUGGCUCCUUUUGACUGUGCAGCUGUAGCUAUUUUCACCACGAUUUGCCACUUCUGCUCUGCUUUUUUUGUUCAUAUUUGUUUAACAUUUCUGUCAGAUUCUGGGACCUUUUAUUAGGUGUAUUUGAAUGUUUAUAUUUAUAUAUACACACACCCCCACACACACCCUCACUAGUAAAUAAAGCAGAGUAAUACCUGGCAGAUUGGCAUGACGGGUCUUUUUAACUGUGUCGUGGAGGAAUGUAGAGACAGAGGAGGGGAAUGAUACUGUGACAGACUACAAGGUUCUCUGCUGGUGCCAGUAGUCUGCUGCCUAAAGCAAUGAAAGCACGUAUCUUUCCACCACUGGACUUCACAACACUAUGAAAAACAUCACGCUUGCCUCAAAACAGAAGGUCUACAACUUCCCUACUAGAAUCAAAUUGUUAAAUUUAUGACACAUGCCGUGUGUAUGGUGUUAUUGUUCCCCAUGUACAGAAGUUCCCUUUCAUCUGUGGGUCAAUACUGUUCCGAGCAUAGCAAUAUUGCACAGAUUGAUAUUGUGCCGUGUGAGAACGAAGACGAAGCUUUAACCCUGUUUGCUCGAUGAUUUCUAUGACCUACACUGAUGAUGUAAGCUGGACAUUUUGGCAGAGAGAAGUUCAACACAAGUCUUGCGAAUGCUCACAGGCAACUGUGACUGUGAUAUAUUUGCAGUCUAGUCAUUGAGCUGACAAAUUGAAAAAGCCCUGAUUCAUAAAAGUGCCAAUUAUUAGAGUCUCUAUUCUUUUAGAUGAAUUUGCUUUUAACCAUGUUUGUUUUCUUGCACUUUAAGGCUUUUCUGACAGCAGGAUUGAAAGCACUAAUCAGAAAGAAAAACCUCCUAGAUGUCUACAUUUUCAUGUUGGAUUGUGUGUUUCUGGCAGUUACUGUCAGCCAACAAGACUAACCGGUUUCAAAACAGCCAACCUGCUCUCUGUUCACCAUGAUGUCAGCAGGCACUGUGCUGUUGUGCUAAAGGCGGUGGUUAAAGCUGUUCUGCUGUUAACACCCGCCUUAGCAAACUCUAUAGGAAUCUCGGCUGCUUUUGCAAACAGGCUAAGCCGAAACUGCCUGCAAAACCUGUGAAGAAAGAGCAUUGUCACUUACCGGGACAAAAAGAAUUAAGCUGCCUGUGUUUUCACAGAGAAGAAAUGGCAUGAGACGGAAGCUCUAGGAAGCAAAGUGCGUUGUUCAUCACCGCCCAUUAAAAUUGGUCUAAUUACAGUUGAGCACACAGUGAGCGUCCAUUCACUUGGCUGUGUUUACACAUUGAAAUAUCACUUUUUCUUAAUAGUAUGCUUAUCAUUAGCAUCCUGGCUGUCACCUGUACACUUCUAAGUAAUAGGUGUAUUGUGUGUAUGUGUGUGUUGUUUGUGUGUGUGUGUGUGUAUGUAUAUGUGUGUGUAUGUAUGUGUGUGUGUAUGUAUAAAAUAUAUAAUUACAGACUACUCCACAUUCCAAUGUAUGAAAUCAUGUUUCCUCAUAGUGAAACAAUUCUCAGUUGCUAAUGCUAAAAUUGUGCUAAAAUGUCAUACCAUGUUGUCUUUCAGCAUAUCAAAAUACUGUUUUCUCAGCGACAUUAAGGCAAGCCAUAACAAUACAUGACAUGCUAAGCAUGAGCAUCCUUAGUGUCAUUAUAACAUUUGUACAAUGCUAAAGAUUAGUAUUGCUACAAAUCAUAAUUUUGUACUGAACCACCUAAACAUUCCAGCAGAGAACCAAUUCUUCAAUGGGCCUCUUGUUGUGUCACUAAUGCUAAUAUGUUAUGCUAAUACUGUAUGUCUUAGCAUCUUUUGGCACUCCCCUUGGUCUCCACUGGUUUCAGAGACACAAGCCUUUUAGCAUGUCUGUAAUAGUUGUCUAGUAUGUGCAUUAUGCUAAUCUUUAGGAUUCAACUGAUGUGAAAAGAGAGAACUUGUACAAACGUGUAUAAAUAAAUACAAGGCAGUCGGAUCUAAAUCUUUAGCAGGAUGAUGGAUAAUUUUUCUGUGUGGGUUUAAAGCCAUCUUAAGCUGCUUAAUUAGCCAUAAUCUAUAGGCCUCCAACUGACGCAUAGCUAAUGAAGUUAAACAUGCAGAUUUUGUCCUGCUGUAUGGGAUCAGACAUGUUUGAAAUGAUCGCCAACUGCAUAUACAUGUGCAUGUUGUGUGAUUUUGACAGCUGCAACAGGGUGGGGGUGGGGAUAUUUUUUUUUUGUCUUUUUAUACACAUGAUCAAUCUCCUCUCACUAAUUCAGAAUCCGUUUUUGGCAGCACUGACUGUGUGGCAGAGAAACAAAUGUUUUUAAACCAAAUGUUUCUUAAACCAUGAUUGUUGUAUAUUGUCACAUGCUUUUCCCUCCCUUCAGUCCUAAUCAUGUUAUUUGCAUUAGAUUCAUAUUUGCAUCCCAAAAUGCAGAUUCAAUCUGCCAACCUUAAAAGCUCAGGCACAAACCUGUGACUACAGAAUAAAUAGCGGUAAUUGCACUUAUUAGGCAUUAAAUGGUGCCUGAUUUAUUCUUCAUUCUGAACAGGCUUCAGAGAAUGAGGGAGGCUUGGAAAGCUCACUCACUGAAACAAACCGUGAAGCAGGCCACAUGUCUUCAUGUUGGAUCAGUUUAAUAUGAUGCUCUUGGUAAGAUGGAAGUGUCUCUUCCUUUUAAAUUGGAUAGCUUGUAAAGAGUUAAUUUUUUAAAAUUAUUAUUAUUAUUGACUACAUUGUUUCCCCUUUUAAUAGUCUGAAUUGAUGUAUUAAAACAAUAUAGACUGUUUCUUCAGUACUACUAGAUAUUGUUAAACUAUUUUCAAUGAAAUAAUUGAACAGGUCUUCAUAUUUCUUGUCGGUUGGUUUGCACUAAAUGAAACAUCCAUUUCUUGUAUAAAACUCGUAUAAACCUGUCAAUUUAUUGGGAAUGUGCUGUAAAGUGUUUUCUAUUAAAGCACCCCUAUUUUGCUUGUUCACAUAUUACCUUUCAUGUAAUGUUAUGUAGCUGUUUGUGAAUGUAAAAAAUCUGCAAAGUUAAAAAAAAAAAUCAAAGUGCACGACAAACGAGUUAUUGACUCCCAAAAGAAGGAACCGAUUCGUCAGGAAUUCCAGACUUCCUGUACAAAGCCCACCUCUGGUCUUCAUUGGCUGCUCGUGAACGUGUACUUUUACCCGCCCUCAAACACUACAGUAGUUGCGUCUUGAAAGUUAGGUUCAUGUCUAGAAGACGUUGUUGUCUGCGCUGCAAAAGCAAAACCACUUUGCAUUGACUCUCAGAGGAUGAGGAUCAGGAUAAAGCAUCAGUGGCUAGAACUCAUUUUUUAAAAUGUUACCACAGCAGUUCAACUCCGACCUUCGUUUACGUUCCCGUCAUUUCACUAACAACUGCUUCUCAAAUCUAGCCGAAGUCAACACGGGAUUUGCGAAAUGAUUAUUCAUUAAAGACUGGGCCGUACCCACUUUAUUUUGACCAUAUUGUGCCUCUGGAUCACAACCUUUAAGUAUGAUUGAUUACUUAUUUAUGUAUUUUGAUAAGGUUAUUGAUAAUGUUAAACUGACGACAUCAUUACUAAGCUGGAAUUCAGAUAUGGUGAUGGGCGAUUCCUUUCUGACACGCGCUAACAGUGGUAAACCAAUCACAACAGACUGGGAGAUCUGACCAAUCAGAGCAGAGUAGGCUCCCUAAAAGGAGGAGUUUAGAGUGAACGGAUCAUUGAGCGAGCCGUUUGUGACCCUGAGAAAAAGAGAUAAUACUGCAAUGCAGAUUAUGAGAAAAUUAAAGGGUUUUUAUUUUUUUUUUUUUUUUUUUUUUUUUUUAUACCUUGGGUGCAUGUAAAUCUAUUGUAUGAGACCUCUAAAACAAAAUUAGGCACUUUUUAUAUAGCACUUUAAGCAGUGCCACUGUCCCCCUGUACUGUUACCCCUUCCAUCUUUUUCUGCAUAUGUGUAUGUUCUGCUGCCAAUCUCUUGCUCCAGUGAGCUUCAGCCGACCCAUACCCCUUGACUUUUACCCACAUUCCUCAGUUCGUGUUGACCACAGACAUCCCAGUGCCCUUGUACGUACAUAACCUAGAUCGUGUUCACUCGGUGAACAUCGACUUGCGGGAGGACUCUGCGUUUGUAUGUGGGUGGCUGGGGGAUGUUCCACCUCUAGGACCCCUGGAUGAUUUUGUAUGGCUUCUGGAAUGUUCACUCAAAUGGUAAUACCAUUCUCCAGACUGUGCUAUUUUAUAUAAUCUGCCUGCAUAUUAUACCUUUUUCUUACCUUCUAUACCUUGUUCAGCGACACAGUGUUGUUAGAGAUUUAUCAACUAUUCCACGAUUCAUUGUUAUGUCCUUGUAAAAGUCAAACUCUUCAAUGUUUCAUCUAAUUGGCAUAUAGUACAUGUCAGUCUGUAAUAAUACCCAUCUUUGACAUAUUUAACUGAGAGCUUUAUAAUGCAAGUGCAUAACAUAGUGUGCAGGCUGUAAGUAAUUGUACACUGAUUAUACCAUUUCUCCUAGGCUGAGUGAAUCUAAUGUAAAAAUGUAAUUAUCCUUCAAUUUAAAGGUGACCUUUUUUUUAUUUUUUAUUUUUUAUUUUUUUUUUAACCUUUAAUUUACGGGUGAUUUACUUAGGGUUCCUGAAAUAAAGGAUUUCAAAGUAAUUGAAUGCGUUUAUGCUCGGCUGUUUCUCAACCAGCUAGACUGAUCCAAAGUCGAAAGGAAUUGCCAAUGAUCCGAAGAACAUCACUUCAUCUGUGAAACACUGGUAGCAUGAUCAUGUCUGGUGGCUGGUGGAUCAGGAUUUCUUGGCGUGAUUGAUGUGACUGCCAACUGCAACAGCGGGAUGAAUUCUGAAAUGAGAAUUUUAUUGAAGCAUUUUAACUCGAAACACAAAUCCAAACAAAUGGCCCACAUCUUCAUGGAUGAUACUUCAUCUUCAGCAGGCCAGGGUCUGAAAGAUACUGCAAAAGCAGCUAUAGUUUUUGUAUCGUCAAAACCUGACCAAAAUGGCAAUUCAUUUCACUCGCUAAAGAUAACAACGAAAACAGAUUGCAAGACCAUGAACUGUGGAGAUACCCAACAUUUGAUCUGUAAGGAAAUACUAAAGAUAGCAAUUUUCCUUAAGGUGGAUAAUAUAUCCAGUUAUUUAUAGUCAUUGUGUUAAAUAGAAAAAGAAAAAAAAACACAGUGGUGACCCAUAUAUAAUUCAUCCGGUGGCCAAUAUUGUGAUGCCAAAAAUACCAUCACAAUAUUUGAAGACAUUUCUACAAUAAAUGAUAUGCACACAAUAUAUAGGACUGCUAGCACAGUGUUGCAUUAAAAAAAAAAUCCAUCUAUUAAAAAUAAAAAGAUUAGGUUUUAGAAGUUUAAUGAUACUUGUAUUUAAUGUUUACAAAAAUAAAUUUCCUAAAACUGAAAUGGAGAAAAAAAUUAAUUUGAGUGAAAAAUAAAGAUAAAAUCAGCUGCCUCCAAUCAGAGUUUGUAAAGUUCUUUUAAUGUUAUGUAAUGAAACAGAUAUAUGACAAUACAUGUUAGUGUAUUUUUCCAUUAUUUCUCACAAUAUUUAUAUUUUAUUGUCUUGCCCAGCUCUACAAAACAGAUGUAAAUGCUCUCCAAUCAAAACUGAGAGUCUGUCAUUUAUCCUCAUUGCAUUGUGUUCUUCAAAUCCAGUAUUGGGCAGUGACAACAAAAGUCAAUGUCCAGUUACUAAUGGACAUUACUACAUUAUCAUGUGCGCACAUUAAAUGUUACCUUGGCAUCUGUUCUGCUGUAAAAGUAGCAGUAAAGUCACAGACACUAAUUUUCAUUACAGGCCACGUUAUUUUAGUACCUGUGGCAGGCUCAAUGGACCAGGCAUUGUAAUGCUUUCUCGAGUCGAUAAGCCACUGUAGAUUAGACGAUGCGUUAAUUCAGAAUAUAAGUGGUUCGGCCUAAUUGCAGAUUGUUUGCUCAUGAUCUCUCUUGGACAAAAUGUUUACUUAAGGUAAACGGAGCUUUUAAUGUUGAUGGCUCCCUGUCUCCCUCCCCGUCUCUCUCUUAAACUUUCAGAUUGCUUCUUGCUUGCUCUUUCUCUGUCUCUCCUCUUUCGUAUAAAAGCAUACAGGGUUUCAUACCCACAUGACUAAAGGCUGUAGGGAUCAGAGAGGAAGAGAGAGAUGGCUGGAAGUGGUUGAUUAGACUGCAGAGCGCUUAGGGCUGUUUUCUUUGGCUCGUGAAUGGACCACAGUCUUGGGAUGAGUGCCGUUUGAAGAAAGACUUGGGGAAAGUGACCUCUCCGAUCACAGAGCUGGAGGACUAAGCAACCUUUCCAGGAGUGGACAGAAGCCAUAUCUGCAUUCAGCAAAACACCUGGUUGCCUGCUCUUUAAACUGAGGAAGUGAAUGGGUUCACUUUUUUAUAUAUCCAAGUGUGCUUUUUAGCCUUGCGAAAAAGCUGAUAAUUCUCUCCAUUUCCAUUUGCUUUGACUUCAAUACAGAGUGAAAAGCUAGAAUCUGACAUUUAUUUGUGUAAAGUAAUAAAAGCAAAAAGCAUGCAGGUACAUGUCUGUUUAUAUAUUCCCUGAAUGCUGUCUAGGAUUGCCCAGGUUUUUUCACACAUUUGGUAUUAGACUCUCACUUUCCCCCCCCCCCUAUGUAUAUAUGCUAUUUUGCUUUAUAUUAGGUACUCUGUGCCAAAGCAAUAAAUCAGCACAUUGAUCCAGUGGUGGACAAAUCUCUAGCCUGAGCACAUGUGACAAAGCAGAGUUUGUGUCUGGGCUAUUUGUUUCUAUUCAUAAUUGGCAGAGCGAACAGUAGGUUUAACCAGAAAAAAAACUUUUCCUUAUUGAUUUUCACAAAAAGUGCACAUGAUGGCUUAGUGGUUAGCACGCUCGCCUCACACCUCCAUUCUUGGGGGGUUGAUUCCUGUCACGGCCCUGUGUGUGUGGAGCUUGGAUGUUCUUCCCCCAUGCUGCGGGGUUUCCUCUGGGUACUCCAGUUUCCUCCCCCAGUCCAGAGUCAUGCAUGGUAGGCUGAUUGGCAUUUCCAAAUUGUCUGAAUGGGCGGAUGAAUGUGUAUGUGAUUGUGCCCUGUGUUGGAUUGGCACCCUGUCCAGGGUGUACCCUGCCUUGUGCCCCGUGUCUGCUGGGAUAGGCUCCAGGUUCCCCAAGACCCUGUAGGAUAAGCGGUAUAGAAAAUGGAUGUGUGGGUGGAUGGAUGGAUUUUCACAAAAAAUUCCAAUAAGUUUUCAUUCGGUAUGUAUGUUUAAUAAUUAACAUGCUUUACGGCGAUGUGAGUCACAUCAGUGCUAUAACUAUAGUGCACGCAUAUAAAUCCCACGACCUGCUGCGCUACAUACAACGGCUGAUGUGAGAUCACGUUGAUGAUGGAAUGUUUGUUUAUUUGUUUAGUUAUUUAUUUAAUUAAGUGUUUAAUUAGCAUGCACAAAUGAUGACGACGAUGAUCCUUUCAGAAUCAGAACCAUGCAGAUGUGUGGAAACUGACAGAACCGAGUAAAAUAAAGUUCGGAACAAAGCAGUCACAGCACGUCACAGUCGCAGUCACAUCGUGGUUAAACAUGCUGACAGAAAAUAAAGACACUGGUCAGACUCGGAUAAUAAAUUUAAAUGAGAUUAAUGGAUCCCAGUGUACUAGCUAACAAAUUUUUGCUCACCCCUGUGAUUUAAAAUGGGUGACUUGUAUCUCUGAUGUCGCCAAAUUCUGGUUUGUAACCUUAUAUCUGGUUUGUAACCUUAUACGUUACAUGUUAUAUAACUGUAUGGAUACAGUUAUUAUAAAGCUUAUCUCCAUGACUUGUUAUAUUCAAGAGACAAAUGGCAGUUAGAAAAUACAGUUUUACAGUAAUACUUGUGAAUAUGUUGGCCAUAGAGUUCAUUUAAUACAAAAUAUCUUAUUAGUGUUUAAAACUAACCUACACCCAAAAUCUUAUUCCAAGACAUUCCUACAUUUUGGAAGCCCUGGAUAUGACUUUGAAUCUCCAGAAUGUACAAGAUGGUUUUUGAAUAGCAGAUUAUUCCCCUUUCCUUUAACCCUAACCUUCAACUUUACACACCAUUACAACAUAAUUAGUUUGCUUACUGCUACAUUUUCUGCCCACCGUUCAGGUUAAUAUGUAUUAAGCGAAUUACACACCUGCAUGUACUGAGGUGUGUGUGUGUGUUGUUGAACUUGAACUUUAAGAAGACAUUUUGUGCAACAACCAACCCUCAUCUCUUCCUCUCAUUCCAGAGCUGACACGUUUCAGACAGGCCUUGUUAGUGUGACUGAAUUCAAUUGAAACCUUUGAGACUAAAGCUAGAUGCAUGCGUAUCGGAUCUUUCUCUCGAGGUCCCACCUGUUUUAGGGCGCUCACACCUUUUGCUGCCUCUCAUAAGCUUGUCUUCAUGUAUCUCAUUAUCCCUGAGAUUAUUAUCCACCCACUAAGGGCUGAUUUACGGUUUCUACAAGCCGUCCUCUCGACCCUGCCAAAGCAUAAUCCCUGCUAACUUUUCAGCUUCUCUUAUUCAUCUCUGCUUUUCAUUCAGGAGCAUAAGCAAUGGGCCACAAUUAAAAUUGGAAUCCCUGCCAUGUUUUCAGACUACAUUUGGAUUGGGAGAGGAAAAAUCCAUAGAUGCAUUGCUUUCUCUCUUGAGUGCUGCUUCCUCCAUGCACAGAAUGUCAUAAUUAGACUUUUACAUGGUCUUAUGCAUAAAUUUCUAAGGAAAAAUGCAUGCUAUUAAAAAAUUUCGGUUACUUCAUUCCAUUAAGUGUAUUUAUUUAGAUUAAGUGUAUUCAAAAUGCGCAAAAAAAUUGACCAGAUUUAGUGUAUUUAUAUCAUUAAUUUGAUUAUGCAACGAUAGAUAGAUAGAUUUUUUGUAUAUCUCAGCUUGUUGGGUAGCUGGGGUCAGAGUGCAAAGUUAGACAUGAUACUGUGCCACUGGAGCAGAGAGGGUUAAGGGCUCAACAGUGGCAGCUUGGCAGUGCGCAUGAACCCCUGACCUUCUGAUCAGUAUCCCAGAGCCUUCACCAUUGAUCCGCCAUAGUGAAAGCAGUGUCAUGUAGUCACAAAUGAUUGAGAAAUGCAUGGUUUGAUUGACUCGGCCUGUGUUCUGCAAGGAAAAGUAGAAUAUGGGUAUCUUAAGUGUUUGAACAUUGAUUUAAAAAAUAUGAAUAUUAAAAACAUUUGAACAGUGAAACAUAUCCUGAAAGCCCUAAUGCAAAUAUAAAGCUUGGUACUUUUUUCUUUUUUUUUUAAAGCAGCAAGUUAUGUAGGAACAAAAAAUCAUAAUGCAGACUAUAAAAAGAAAUAAAUGUGCAUAAAGAAUCGUUUUAUAUUCACAUAGUGGCAUCCUGAAUUGAAAUAAAAUUAAAUUGAGAAGUCCCGAGUUAUUUCCACCCCUACUGAUGGAGAGCUCUGCUUAUGGAUGACGAUGAGCGAAGUGAGUUUUUUGCUUUUUUAAUACUCCUAGUUAUUAAAGUGCUGGAGAGGGGGGGGGGGGUUCGGGAAAGUUUCUUCUAAAUGCUUAAUUAGUGGAGCUGGUAAUAUUGAUUAGCUAGCCUUAUGGUGCACACAUGGUGCUAUGAUGUCCUAGUUUGUAUCAUCUGCAGUGUUAUUUUCAUCAUCCCCCUCUACAAUUUGUAGUCCCAUGUGGAAUAUUAGAACAUCAGAAGGCGUUAUUAUCCACUCUCCUAUUUUGUGUGUUUGUCACUCAUGUAUACAAGUCUGCAAAGAAAGAAAGCCUUAUCAUCCAAGCCAGAUUCACACAUCGUUUAAUGCCGUUGCAUGCAAAUGAAUAAAUAUUCAGUGCUCCUUCGCUCACUGAUGCGCGCGCACACACACACACAGACACAGUGGGAGGUGCUGUCAGGCAGGCAUGCUGUGGUUGAUGAAUGGUAGCGUUGUCACCACAGUCAGGUUCAGCUCUUUUGUGGUGUAUGUUUUAUGCCCGUGUCUCCGCACAAUACAGCCAGACGUCGUCGCUCAAUGUGGGGGUGUGUGUUUGUGUUUUCAUCUGAGCAACUCUUUGUUUGUUUGUACUUGGGCAGAACUAUUUAGAUCUGAGCACUCAUUUCUCCCCAUUCUAGCGCCUGUGGCUAUAACCAUUUGAUCAGAUAAGUUGCAAUGUUUAUAUGAAUGGGAACUAUCUCAAUUACAGCCCCUGCCCACCGCACAUUUACUUUCCGGGGUUGGUUAUGCGGCAUUGAAAUUAGUCCGUGUUCUUUUUUGGCGUCCGCAGCCUUAUGAAUGAUGGACUGCUAGAAACCACCCUGAUCACCCGAAGGCGAACAGAAGCCCAUGCACAGGUUCACUCAGUGUGAUUAAUGAGCAGGAUCAUGGCAAGAAAUCCGAGAGCCUCCUCCUAUUCUGCCUGCCUUCUCCCUAAGGACCCGUGUGUUGCAUAUGCUAUGGUCUCAGGAUAAAAAAAAAAAAAAAAAAAAAAAAAAGAGGUGGGAGAAGGGAGAGAUAGAGAAAACACAUUGCUUUCCUAGUAGGAAUUUAUACUGAAUUCUUCUCGUAAUUAUUUUUUUUAUCGAGUCCAGGUGUGUGCUGUGUGCAUUGAUAAAUGGUAUGUGAACUCGACUGAAUUCCUUGUAAAAAAAAUUUCUUCAAACACUUUCAAAAAUUCUUCUCUUCUACAUGUCUAUAGUUCUUCCUUUUCUGUAUUACAAGAAUCUCCAUGAGAGAUGAUAUCAAAAAAAAAAAGAGGAGCUUGUUUGUGUUAAUAAAUCAGAACUUUUCUAUAACACUGUCUGCUAGGCAAAUCCAUUUUCAAGCAGUUUUAGUGUCUUAUUGCUUAUUAUGCUGCAGUCAGGGCUUAUUUAUAGCUCUGGGGAGUUAUGAAGUUUCCCUCGGCGACUUGAAUAUGAAGGGCCAUAUGAAUCCGAAUAGCAAAAGUGAGACAUAAAAAUAUAUAACAAAAUUGGAUUGUGUCUUCUGUCUUUUUGACAGCUUGACCGAUAAAAUAAGCAAGUAAUACAGUACUGGAGUUCACAGGGGAAGGGGUGGUGUUGAUCUCUGUGACUCCGUACAGUCUUAUUAUGUUUGCCAGCAAGGGUUUGGCUAAUAUUUCUGCUGUUACCUGUGUUCGAAAAAACUCUGAAAGGAUCUCCUUUAGGCUCGUCAGUGAUUUUGAGACAUUAGUUAUUUUUAUAACCUUUAGACCUCUCAGAACUUGAUAACUCUCAGUGCAAGAUAUUUGAAUACCAGACUAGCCGUUCGAGGCACCAGUAUGCAAAUACUGCAGUCGGUAUUCAGAUAUGUUAUACCCUGCAUACGCAUUAAGUCAGUAGAAAUCGUAUGAAAAUUUCAACAAAACGAUGAGCCAAACAUACUUCCAAAUCAACACCGGAAUGCUUAAAGACACACUAACUCAAAGUUUCGCAAUCCCUAGCUCAGUCUCUGAUUUUGAACCUUACUGUGGUUCCAAAAUGAGUGCGAUUGUUCCUGGUGCCUCAUGCAGCAUUGGUCUGGUUUCAGACUUAAUUGAUUCUAUCGAACUCUGGUGGAUUUUUGUUCAUUGUGCAUCAUCCUAAACGCACAUGGAGAAAACAACGCUACUCACAGUUUUUUUUUUUUUUUUUUAAUUUUUUUUAAAGAAAUUAUUUUGGUACUAUUAUGCGCUGCAGAUAUUAUGUGCAGCAGAGGACCUCUUUUGUAUCCCACAACAUCCCCCUGCCACUCAUGGUACACGUGUGCUAUGGAAACGAAUGAUGGUCGUCAUCAUGGACUAAAACACGCGCAUGUAACUUUACUUCCUGACCAAGUGCGGACCCGAGUACAAGUUGAGCUCACAGUCAUAGGAAUCGCAGCACAGUUCCAGUGCAGCCGAACUCAAACCAUCUCCCACAGCAAGUCUAAGUUCGGUACCGUGGUGCGCUUCCAGGUCCGUGUUGCCGCUUUCACGUCAUGCAAACCGUGCUCUGUUUCGGAAUAAACGUGCCAGCGUGAACGCCCCCUAAAAUGUUCUGCAUGGAGAAAUGGAACAAGAUUCCUAUAAAUGUGUGUCCAACCUUAUUAGACUUUAGAAGACACUCAGUGCUUUUAUUCGGUCCCUGGCAGGCAUCACAAAAUAUUAAUUAUACAAAGUUCCUGUAUGAUGAAGCUGAAAAUAUCCCUUAUUUUGUGUGUGUGGUGGUUUUUUUUUUUUUGUUUUUUUUAUACAGUUGCAAUCAAAAUUAUUCCACCUCCAUUGCAAAUCAAGUUUAUUGUCAAAAUUAACAGACUUUCAGCUGUUUGCAAUGAACAAAUCAAACAAAAGCAACUGAAAUAGUUCAACACAACGGAUGCUUCAAGUGGUUUCCCCAAAUUCCCAUGUGCUACAACAGUCUUCUUCAAAUCCCACCAGAGAUUUUCUAUGGGGUUCAAGUCAUAGUCACCUGAUGGCCCUGAAUCUUUCAGGACUUCUCCUGCAACCAAGCCUUGGUGGAGUUUGAGGUAUGCUUAGGAUCAUUGUCCGGUUGGAAGGCCCAAUGACACCAAAGCUUCAGUAAGCCUGAUUGGCAAUGGGAGUUGAAUAAUUUUGAUUGUAACUGUAUAUUAGUUCUUGCUCAUUUUCAUGUAGGUGCUAAUAAGUCUGCAGGGCACUGUAGCUGUUUGAACAGCCAGCAUCAAUAUAACUGCCUCAGAACUGAAGAGGAAAUGACAAGUAAAGACAAUUGGAGUAAGUGCGAUUACAAAGGCAUGCUACUAAUAUUAGUCAUAAAGCAAUCAGCUGAACUACACAUGAUGUUAAUAAUGCUUAAUAAUAAUAAUAAUAAUAAUAAUAAUAAUAAUAAUAAUAAUAACAGUAAAUAUAGUAAUGUAUGUACAGUUAUAGUAACUGUAAUUUGUGCUGGUUUACAUUAAAUGGUAAUUGCAUCUCAAUACAUAAGGCAUAAGGAUAGACUAAUAUAUACAUAGACACUCAAAGGGAAGGGGUUGUGGGUGUUUUUACAAUCAUAUUCAAGUGCUCUCAGAGAAAAUGUCAUGUGUCUGUCGAAGACGAUCAUCGAUUGUUACCUAAGGUUGCCUUCAUUAGGAGUAUUGAUUAAGAGUCUUUUGAAAGUGAUCUGACUUCAACUGUCACAAUUUUGUGUCAGAUUUGUUUGAUGGACAAGGCUGGCAAGAACGUAGGGGGGGGGGAUAUAUUUAAAAAAAGAAUACUUAAAAAAGGACUUAAUGAUGCAAUUCCAUCUCUGCCAGAGGGUUUAUUGCUGCCUUCUAUCUGCUUGCACUGACUUUUUGCUAUGGCAAGAAUGUAAAACAGAUCAUACUUUUCAGCUCUCCUGCUGCAGUGACCUUUAGCACAAUGCAUAUUUGUGAAUAUGAAUAUGAACUUCUUUCUCAAAAAGAUAAAAAUCGGUUAUACAGUACAUGCCAUGGUUUAACUUGCCAAUCAAAUCAUCUUGAGCACUAACCCAUACUGCUGAUUUGUAAAAUGUCUCUUUCUGGAGUCUUUCAAAAUGGCAAGUUUCAGUUCACCCUGACCAAAUAAAAACCUCAUCUGUCAGACACUCUGGAGCCAAUGACUGAUUUAAUAGAAAUGACCAGUGCAUAAAGAUACAUAGUUGGGGAUGCAGUACUGGCUUGGAAAGCUUUUUCAGAAAGUUACCAGUACUGGUCUGGAAUGCUUUAUCAGAAGCGGAUUGAUUUUGGUUUGUUUGUUUGAUCUGGAGAUCCUUCAUUUUGGCUGUAAGGCAAACAUAAAUGUGUGCUGAGACCAUGGCAUUCUCCUGAGGAUGGACACUGGACAAAGUCCCCAUGAAAUCAAAAUGGAAGAACAAUGAUAAAAUUUGCAUUUGGAAGACAUCCGCGUUCUAAAUUGACAGUCUCUCUACCGCCAAUACGGAUGAACCAUUUUGAUGACCUCAUUCUCCACUUUGGCUUCUCAUCAGAUUUUCUGUCCCAUCAAAUGCUCUUUAGACUCUGAAGUGUCCCAGCCCCAGCUGUUGUAAGUUUUCUAGCUGUGAGGUAAGCUAAACGCUGUUGGCUAUUUAAAAAGGGGGAGGAGCCACUCGAUAUGUCCCACCCUGACUUCCUGUUUCCAUGGACAUUGAAUAAGGCUACGUGUGUCAGGGCACUUUACAGGGAGUUUAAAGCAAAAUAUUAUCAGAAUACUGUGAUCAGCGUGGAUGGAAAACUGAUACAAAUUGGUGUUCAAAAGAAAAGGAGCGGGCCAAACACAGAACCUGAAGGUAUAGCAGUGGUUUCCUGACUUACCGCGACUUAAAUCAUCUCGGUGCAGUUUUUAUGAAACCAAGGUGGAGAGGGUGGCCAGGAGAAUAUCAUGGUUAACUUUAUUAAAAGCUGUAUCUAAUAGAUUCAGCGAGAGCAGCCCAUUUUUGCUAAAGUGACCACUUCUGAAGUUGGAUUUAACUAUGCAUAUAAAAUAUCAGUCACAUUCAAUUCCAAAAUACCAUAAAGAGCAGUUUUUGCUGGGUUUGGUUCCUGCUUGAUUACAUUUUCUGCACCACUGCUGUCCCACCUUAAGGCAUAUGUUUAAUCACGUUUGCAGCUGUAAUAUCGUUAAGUUUAAGGUUUGGGGUUUUUUUCUGUUUGGUGCUCUGCGGGGGUUAAAUUAUACUGCACCGGAUUCUGACAAGCAUUUGAAAGCGAGCAGAGAAUAUAACAACCAAAAGCCAAUCAAGCACCCACCAGGUGGGCUAAAUCUUCACUUUAUAUCUAUUAAACCUGACAUCUCUUAGGCUUUUGUAGGUUUUUAUAGCUUUUGCUAAAACUCAAGAUUUCUGUCCUAAAUUUCUUCUCCUUAUCCUCUAAAGCACACCUCCAUUUUCUCUAACCUUCACAUUUUCAUUCUUUUCCUGUAAUUGCUCUGGAACAGUAAUAGCAAAAUGAGAACUUGGACCAGUCUUUCUGCUGCUGUCACUCUCCACUUCCCUUUGAUGUUUAUACUCCAAAAGACAGUAUGUGUAAAGGUUUUUCAAAGGCUUGGCUUCUUUUUCUCCUCCCUUAUAUGAAUGACACUAUAAAAAUAGCCUUCCAAGGUCACUGUGCUCAAUAGGGCUUUAGGAGAAUUUCUCUGUAUCUCCAGAAAAAUCUAGAAAUCAACUCCUUUCUUAUCCCUCCUCUUUCUAUGGUACUUCGUAUCAGAUUCUGGACAUAAACUGUUCACCACUGCCGGAACCCACCCAACUUUGUGACAGCCAUCAGCGUAAUCCUUUUAGAUCCCCCGUGAUGAUUACUGCCUAUGAGAGAGGUUAGUUAUGGAAAGGAUAGCAGCUUCGGGGGUGACAAUGGAAGCCAAUGAUUGCAGGUCAAUUGAAGAGAGAUGUGAAAAGGUAGCUUGCGCACUGCGCGCUGUCACUUUACAGCACUUUUAAGGAGGAGACUCAUGCCGAAAGGGUCUCUCGGUGGUCAGUAGAAACAGAUGAAGGUUACUGUACAGCUUUACAUUUCUCGCUUCUUAAGAGCACAAAAGAUAUAAUGCGAUUAGCUUCUGGGAAGCACUGGGUCUUUGAGGGACACUGAGUUUGUAUGGGUGUCUUUAUCAGUGUAUGAAAUGUUUUUGACCACCUCCUUCAUGAUGGUCAUUACAAAUCUGAACAUUUUAGUUAAGGUGUCAGAAACCCUGCCUCAUAAACAUACUUACUGGCUGAAGAGGCGAAGAAGGUGUGGACAGCCUGGCUAAAAAAAGGCCUGGGAAAAUUGGUGGUAGUGGGAAGCAGUGCCAGUCAUACGUUAGAUAGAAUUAAGGUAGACCUACUAAAGCUAUGCAAAGGAAUUUAGUAGGAUAAACCUUGGAUUAACACUAAAAUUACACGUCAUUUUUUUCAUGUACUCACUCGCAUCCUACAAAUGUGGCAAAAUCUUUCACCCACCCUCCCAGUAGUGGCACAUUUGACCUACUUUAACUAGUGCAAAGCUUGCACUUUCUGUAGUAAGUCUCUUUACAAAGUGUAAAUUGCAAGUCCUUCUGUUUGGAAGUUCAGAGACUCAAAAGCAGCACUUUCUCGAGAAACCUCCAGUGUGUUGGUUACCAACUGCUUUCCUAUUUCUCUGGGUCAGAAUGAAGUGGGGGUUUGUGGCAGAAUCCUGCUGCUUGAACAGAGUUGAAGAGCAGUCUCGUUUGCCUGGGUUUCAUUCCAGUGAGUUUUAAUCUGUUGACACUGGGGAUCUAGCCGUGUGAGAUUGAUACCAGUGUCAUUGUUAUUAAACUUGCGAUGUUCAUGGAAAGUUGAGAUUCUCUAAUUGGCUUCCAUCUUGUUAAUAUUGUCCUCUGCUAGGGUGGUAAAGAUUUGAUUUGGAGUGGUGGUAAUGGUUUCAGUAAGUCUGUGGGCAGCUGCUCUCCUGUGGUAAGGAGACAGCAGAUGGGCCUAAUGGUAUUCCACAUCUGACUGCCCAUUUAAAAUGGACAACCAAGCACAAAAAAACCCCUCCAGCCUCUGGUUGCCACAGGGCAGUUUUUACAACAGCUGAAGCCAGAGCCUAAUGUAGCAGAGCAAGAAACUCUCACACUCCUACACACACACUAUUUUUGCCCUUUCGCUUUUAGUUUCUCUUUCUGACAGCAAAAUGUAUAAAUGCGGUGCAUGUAAUAAAGCAAAAAAUCUGUUUCUCCUGCAUGAUUCAUUCUCUAAACCAAAUUAAUAGGAAACAUUUUCUGCAGCUAUCUCCAGUAAGAGAUGGUUACAGUGGCAACAAGUAAAGUCACUAUCUUUAAUUGACACUGUGGUAAGCUAAGGUGUUUUCAGUUGUGUUGCUUGCACUCUCUCUCUCAUGAGAAUGACUCAUUCAUCUUUUAGCUUGCUUUUAAACGUUUUCAUCCCUUUCUUAACCCCUCGCACUGAUCUUAACUCUUGUUAUUGUGUUAGCAUUAAAUGGUCUCUUGAACUAUGGCCCUCUUUAGACUUGGUACUCGAUCACACCCAGUUGCAAGUGAACAGCCAAGACGGAUAACCGCUCACGCCUGAUAUUUUCAUGCGUCUCCAUUGAUGACUCGUGAUUGCGUUUUGUCAGUACAAGGGUUUGCAAAUCUGACGAGUCAUCAGGUUAAAACCAAACCCAAAAUUACAAACCAACACCAAAUGAAAACUGUUUAUAUUUAGCCAUUGGAUGGCAUUUCCUAAUUUAAUCAUCAGGCACUUAGAUCAGUCGAUAAAAGCUUUACUCAUACACUCAUUUCUCAUUGCUUUUUGUGCAGGAUUUGUUCAUCUAAUGACCUUUUUGUAUGCUUUCAACAAUCUCACAAAUGAAAAGAGUGAUUUAUUUGCGUGCAUUCUGACCAUUUGUGUACUUGAUGGCUUUUAUAUUGCCAGCAUGUCCGGACAUGUUCUCACAAUCCUCAACACUCUUUAAGGAGCCAAGGCCCAUUAGUGAGCUGCUGCUGCUCAGCUGUUCCUAAAGCCACGUUAACCCCCAUUCAGAUCAUUACAUGCUCACUAUUCCUACCCGAAUCAGUUUCUACACUGUUUUUCAGCGACUCCUGUUCUCUCCACGGCAGGGGUGUCACGCACUAGCCCUGGGGGCCAUAGCACUACAGAGUGUGAUGUUUUCCCUGCUUCAGCACAUCUGAAUGAACUCAUGAAGUGCCUGAUAAUUAGCUGAUGAGUUCAGGCAGGUGUGUUAAAGUGCUGUUUCUGGUUCACUGUAAUUAAGCACUGAUCCUGCUUUACCUGGACUGAGCAAAAGUGCGGUUAUACUGAAUAUCAGUACGGCUGUGAUCUGGCCGUAGGUAAUCGCAUGAUUGCGAGUGUGAUAUUGCUUUUCAGUUCUAUCAACAAUAAAUUAAUAUUGAGUGACAUUUUGGACAGACUAUGGCCAGAUGUUCUGUUAUAUUUUGCUCCGCUAGAGGAAAUAGAUCCCGAAGAAGCCACGCUCACGUUAUAGCACGUUGGCUAGCUUGCUAGCUAGCUCACAUUGAUUUGUACAUUCCUAAAAUCCUUUCAUCCUUUUAAUCUUCAACUGACGAGCUUUCCUAUUUUAAAUCAAAAGUUGUAUUCCUGGAAAGUAUCGUUUGCCAUGUCCGCUGAUGAUGUCGCAAAGAGUACUGUAGUGAUGGUUUCGAACUAGGAAGUGGAAUUUUAUGUGGCGAGCAAAUACAAGCAGCUUAGUGGACCAGAACUAACUUGUAUAAUGCAAAGUAUCAGACAGACAGGGUUUUCUCUUUUCAAAACAAGAUAUUCAAGACUCGUAUUAAACCCGCUCUGUGGGGGUGGAUUUAAACUUAAACGCAAUAUAACGAACACACCAUGAUGGUGGUCUUGGGUUUGGUCCAUUGAGUUAAGAUUGGGUUUAUGUUUACCUCUCUGGAGUAAUACAGUCCACCUUUCUGUGUAACACCAGGCACCCUUCUUCAUGCUGAACUAGUUGAUCACGGACGAGUUUAUUUGGUGCUGGUUUAAUAGGAGAUGGAAGAGAAUUAAACUUUGGUUUGACCAAGUAAGUGCAGUAUUGAAUCAUAAGCGUUUCUGGUCUACAACAGUUUUACUUUUACACUUAAGUCUCUCAGUGUUUUGUAUGCAGGUUAUGAGAUUAAGGCCCAUAACCACUGCAGAGAAUUUGAUAGCUACAUCAAUGGAGACAUCUGAAAGCCAUAAUUUCCUCUAAACCAGCCUUGUUUUUUUGCAGUAGCUGCAGUUAUUCACAUGGCACAUUAAUAUUGAUUUUUUUUUUUUUUAAUAAUACCCAUGUGCCUUCUCUUAGAUACAGAAUAUUGAGUUGUAAUGGAAUUGUUUUAGAGCAUCUUAGUGUGUAUAGAGCGCAUCUGUCACUCUGUGAUUGCACAUGUUUUGGGGGAAUAAUCUUUCAGCGUACAUUAACAGCAUUUAGUGUGAAACGAUGAAUACAGAUGGUUGACAAAUCAAUGGGAAAAACCAACAUAUAAUGUCUUUUUAGUAAGUUGUUAGGCUUCCACGAAUAUCUACAGUGGUGUGAUUAUACUAACAGUCUGUUUCUAGGAGUAGUAUGUUUUUUGGAAUGUAGUCAAACAAACUAUUAUAUCAAAAUAUUACUAGCUCAUCUCAUAGCUAAUUUUACAUAUUACUUAUUCAUUUUAGCAAUAUUAGUAAUAUCAGAUGAGCACAGGCAGGUGAGUAAAACUAGGUGUGUAUGUGGUUUGCUUACUUUGCUUGUUUGGAUUACUCUAAGAUGCACUGAUUCCCUUAGCUGAAGUCUACCCUCUGUUUCAGCCAGCCUCUGACACCAAAUCAAGAUAUUCUGUGAUUGAGUGCUAUCGAGGGCCAACUGGUGCGGAAUGUAAAAUAAAAGCUACAGGUAGAGGUUGGCCAUCGAAGCUCAGUGAUGUCUUACAAUCAUCUUGGUUUGUCACUCUAAGAUUUACUACAAUGGAUGUCUCAAACGUUCAAUUUCUAUGAGAAAUCUUACUCUGUCAAUAAAAACGCAUGACAAUGCACUCCUCACCAGUAGUUACAUGUCCACAUGCAUUCACAUAUUUAGAAUUUCUUUUCUUGUAACUUUCACCGUUCUACUCGGAAAACAUAAGCAUAUUUCCCCCCAAAUGAUUUUACGUACUCUUUAUGCUUACCUAGGCUUUCUGCCGAGGUCAUGUUAGGGAGAGCACUCACCGGCUACUUUAAUAGUAGAAUAAUACUAUUAUUAUUGAAUAAUACUUCAAUUGUGCAUCUUCUAAUUCAUGCAGUUAUUCAAUCAACCAAUCAUCUGGUAGCAAAAAUAUAACGGUCCUGAUUCAGUGAGUCUAUGACCAGUUUUGCCGCAGAUUCUUGUUCUUGGCUGAGAGGACUGGAACCUGAUGUGGUCCGCUGCUGUUGAAGGUCCAGCUCCAAGGUUUGACAUGUUAUUGCAUUCUGAGAUGCUUUUCUGCUCACCCUGUUUGUAAAGAAUGGUUAUUUGUUCAAACUAGUCUAAUGUCUAUCGUUAACACACCGUUUCUGCCCGCAGAACUGACGUUCACUGAAGGUUUUUUUUCUUCACACCAUGCUGUGUGAAUUCUAGAGGUGUGUGUGUGUGUGUGUGUGUGUGUGUGUGUGUGUGUGUGUGUGUGUGUGUGAGAAAAUCCCAGGAGAUCAGCAGUUUUUGAAAAACUCAAACCAGCCCAUCUGUUACCAACAAUCAUGCCACACUCAAAGUCAAAGAGAUCACAUUUUUCCCUAGUCCGAUGUUUGAUAACUGAAGCUCUGCAAAUUUUUAUGCACUGCACUCCUGCCACAUGAUUGACUGAUUGGAUAACUGCAUAAAUGAUCCUAUUAAAGUGGCCAGUGAGUGUACAUGUUUUGUAAUUUAAUCUCUGGUUAAGUGUUGAUGAGACUUGUUUCUGUGUGGAUGUCUUGUGCCUGUGUAGGUUUGCUGUCACUACUUGACCAUAUGUUAUGGCAUAAGUGUAGUGUGUGUGUGUGUGUGUGUGUGUGUUGUGUGUAGGCCAUCUGUCGGAGAGUGGUGUGUGCCUUUGAGCAGGCAUUUUUAUUACAUAGAAUACUUGGCUUUGUAUAUUUGUCUGUUUUGUGUCUGCAGCUUUUAUUCCCAUUUCCAUUUUUGUGACUAACAUCGUGACAGUUUUUGUGGGUUAAUAUUUUGGACUGAUGUGAUGUAGCCAUGUAGUAACCAGUGACCCCUGUGUGCUUGUGCUUGGCAAUCCAUAGUGUAAAUGUAGAUCAUAAACACCUGCACCAUCAGCCCAAUUAACAGCCCAAUUAGCCUUAAUCUCUGCCACAAGCAUGAGAAAUGGCAGCUGGGAAUUGAGUGUUUGUUUCUGAAGGACGAAGAUGUCAUGAAUGCAUCUUACUGUGUAUAUUUUUGGUGAGUGUGUGUGAGAAAGAGACUUCAAGUAGUGAAUGUGUUCUUGUGCUUGCACCUGCAUUAUUGAGGCAGUGUUUUUGUGUGUGUUUGGGGAGAGGAGUGUGUUUGUUAUUUGGACACCAGACUACCUGCAAAGUGUUUCUCCACUGUAGGAUAAGGAGUCUUACACUGUUUGUUUGAUAAACUAACAGACCCUUCAGACGGAGGAAGCACAUGAUCCAGAAAGAAAACUCCCAAGAUUCUUCACUGCUGCCCCUACUAUUCCCAUAACCAUGUAUUGCACGCUAGCUAAUAGGGACCUUAAGCAAGGACAGCUGUAGGGAUGGCUAUGGUAACCGGAAUGAAAUUUUUGUUCAUGACAUAGCUGUGGAAACCAAAGUCACUAAGAAACAACUCUAACACUAUGGCAGAGUGGUCGGCCUUUGGUGGCUUAAGAAAAUUAGUUUAAAAAAAAAAAUCAAGACGAUUCUUUUAUGCGUUAAUAGAUAAAUCAAUCUCAGAGGAAGGGUUUGAACUGCUACAUUGUACUGUAUCUUCAGAAACAUGGAUACAUUUUAUGUGUCUUGGAUCAAAUUGCUCAUUGAGUUCAUUGAACGAUUAACACAUUAUCACAUGUGCGCCACAGCUCGGUUUUUCUUCCGGCCUCCAUCGCGUCCUUGUCGCUGUUGUUGCUUGAACGCUCUGAUGUCUUGUCGCAGCCUAUGGUUAGUGAACUGAAACUUAUGGAAGACUUGCGUUGAUAUAAAGAGCAUACAGUAUGCAACAGGGUGAAGGUCGUGACAAGUGUGAGGUGUGAUGCUGUGAAGUGGUGGAGGUUGCCACUAAUAGCUGAAAGACGGAGCCUCGGUUGCUAUCAGUUAUGAGGCGCAACGCACUGGUGCGACGGAUUAAUAGCUGUCGUCGCGCUUCUCUCCCCAUGGAGUUAUAUUUAGUGUCCUUAUCACAAAAGUGCCACUGUGGUGCAACUGAGUUAAACCAGGUAGUAGCUGCCUGCUCUGGCCUUUGGACUAUCUUUCUCCAUCAAGUUGAGAAAGACUUGUUGCUUUAACGUGACACUAUUAUCACAGAGUAGUUAAAAUAUACUGUUUUGAGAAUUGGGGUAUUCAAGACUAAUAGAACUUAAAGUAGAGGUGUGUAAAAAGUAACCUUAACACAAAAAUAAAGAUGAACACGACAACCGCAGACACAGUAAAAGUACCAACUAACACACCAUUAAGAUCUUAACUUCUCAUUAAACAGGGUAAAUAUGGCAUUCUGGAGGGGAGUUAGGAUAAAAAGGGUAGGAGCCUGCUUUCUGUGGUUUCCUCUUUCAUUCUUGAUCAGUGUCAUUAUCUGUCUUUCUUCUUUUCUCCUUCUCUGCUUGUCGGAGCAGGCCAGGCUGGUGUGUACCUCUCUGCCUCUCCCAGGCCUUGGGCUGAAUUGAGUUUAAACCAGACUUUUUGUUUGCCAUGGUAUACAUGACCUGGCAUAAAGCUCCCCUCCAGUGUAAAAGGAAGACUGCGACAAUUGGAAGAGAUUAGUGAGUGAUCAUGCUAACACAUUUGCUAAAAACAAUAGAAAGGAGGAGGGGGAGGUGUCAGAAGGAUGUUGGAAAGAAGCCAGCCUUAGCUGAGGCAACAAUCUCAAAUCUAUGCAUAAAACACCAUCCGCUCCAAUCACUGCACUAACUUUUCAACAUGAGGAAAUGAACUCGUGCUGCUGCCUGUGCGCCGAACUGCCCACUCGACUGAACGUUUCUGUCGUUACACGAGCAGCAGGAGGGCACUGAUAUGUGCUGAGGUUUGAAAAAGGGCAAAGUGUCUCUUGUUGGUGAAGGGAUUGGCAGAGAAGUCAGGCUGAAUUAAAAUCUCUGGCCCCGUUCUCAUGAGUGCCGCAUUUCUCUGUGGAACUUCAUAUCAUUCAGAUAAUCUUUCACAGGGCCGGAGAUAGACACAAGCAUUUUUGAAUCCAGACAUGGUGAUAAUCCAGGCAACAACUGUCCCCAGUCUAGCUAGCCAUCUGACACAGGAGUGUAACGCUUAUGAUGGUGCAUGAGUGAUGCAUGUGAUGUGGAUUAUGAAACUCUUAGGCUUGAGAAAUGAUUAUAUCCUGAGGUCUCAUCAAUGGCAUAGUAAGACAGUCCUUCUGGGAUUUUGCUAUCGUAGAAAUGAAUGAAAAUCAAGCAAACUCGGUGGAGCAAUAUUCGGUGGAGCUUGCAAUUUUUCAAAAUUACCACAGAUUUUGGACAAGACACGUCAUGUGAUGUCAUCACAACACUGAUUCGGCCAAAGCCCUCUUCAAUUCACGUGCGUUGAACACGAAAACAGCUAAAACGUGUGUUUACUGACAAACAUCACUGCGAAAGACAAUUUCAUGCAAUUGCAGUUUUGCUUAUUCAAGUAGUUUUCCACAAAAAAAAGCUCUGCAAAUUGCAUCACAAAUUUUGAAAGAAACGUUUUUGGCCGCAAGAAUCACAAAAAACUGGUAAGAAUGAUGUGGAGCAGACUAUUGCACACACUUAAAGACAUAUAGUGCUGUACUGGCUUCAUGUCAUGUUUCCUAUAAAUACCAAGCAGGAAAGUGUGACACUUUAGUUCAAACCCCCCAAAAAGCAUGCACUUAGUUAUUUUGAUUGGACAAUGUGUGCUUAGUCUGUCAAGUUUAAGUUUUGUUCUGCAAAGACAUUUUUUUGGGGGGGAUGAUGUUAAAGUAAAUAAUCCACCUCAUUCUCAUUCAUUACACUCACUAGUGGACCUGCUAUGUAGAGGCUUUUUCACUGUGUGUAGUGACCUAGCACGACCGUCACUGACAGGCUGCGUGAAUCUACAGUCUAGACUUGAAAGAUAUCAGCCCUAGCCUCAGUUAUGACCUUGUUUCAAGUCCAAAAUAAUCCACUUAAAAAAAUUCCUAACAGUAAAUAAUCUGAAGUGAAUGCCAAAACUGAAACAUUAUAUUAAUGUCUUUUCAUAAACACUAGUCCAUGUAUGUUUAGCCACCUCUGCUCACACUUUCACUAGCCUGUACACGCCAGUAAUCACAAAGUUGUUUUCUAAUGUUUAGGGUCACGUUGUUGGUUGUAACCUUGUAGUUUAUAGUUUGUCUCAUGUGUAAUAGUACCAGUGCUUAAUGAAUUGCUGUGUUCAUGGAUAAAGGGUCAUUUUGUUGUAGGCCUCAAUAGCACAAUAAGGUGUUGGUCUCCUUGACAUGAAUAUAAAUAACACUGUGUCUCUCUCUCCACUUACACACUCUACAGCUGCACUGAAUAUUUCAUGCCUUCUUUUAAAAAUCCAUUCCUCACUCUUAUUCUCUUCCCCUCCCCCAUUCACGUCUCUCCGUCUUUCUCGCUAAGCGGAGACCUCUUCUCGUGCAGCAAGUGUUGUCUGUGCGAGGGCUCCAUUCCUUCACUGCCCCUGGCAACACUCUAAUGGAGUCCAGGUCUCUCGAGAGUGAACACGCGAGAGAGUGAGAAAGGGAGAGUGAGCGAGAAAUGGAAUAAGAGAAUAUCCUCCCUUACCACCACAUUAGUGCUGAUUUACUGAGAGGAAUGGGCUGGAGAGAAGCAUCCAUCAAGCUAAAGUGUGUUUGUGCUUCUGUUGCCUUAGUUUGUCAUCAUCACGAUCAUCUUUGGUUAGAUUCUUUUAUGAAAUAUAGCAUUGCCAAGGACAGGCCGGAAAUGGAAGGAGCCACUCGAGUGUUUUGAAUGGCAUCUCAUUUUCUACACUGUAUAUAUUCCAGAAGAUAACACCGAGCAGGUGCUGGCACUAUUUCACCACAAACUGAUGACUUGCAAUACCGUCAUCGUUUUAUUACAGUGAUAUGUUAUUGGGGAUAAUGGCCCAAGCAGCACAUUAUUAUUAUAUGUUAAUAUCCUCUUAUUCGCACUGACUUCCUCAGUACCUUUACAAUACACUCCAUUGGUUUUAUUGAUGCUUCACCACUUGUUCAGGUGGACAAAGACUAAACUGACAUCCUAGUAUUUUUCUGUGAUUAUGUUGGCAGGUGUUUGUUUGGACAGACCUUUAACAGGAAAUGAAUGGUAGUUUUCAGCCAUAUCGGGACUUUUUAUCAGAUUGAUAUUGGUAUAAUUAUAGUCCUUGAAACAGGUUUUGUCUUCAGAAGUUAUUAGGAAGUAGUCCACCCAAAGAUGCCUUUAUCUAUGUCUCUCUCCUUUUUUCAUCCAUUCAGCUCAUAAUAGCUCAUAAAAUUUGUGAUUUUUAAUCAUUGUGAAUAUCAAUGUGAAGCAUAAGUACUUACUUGCAAGGCAAAUGGUAAUAAAUUUGUGUUAUGGAAUUGAGCAGUUUAGAGAUCCUGACGGUGGACACAGCUGUCUAAUUUAACAGCAAAGCAGAUGCUUAAAUUGUAAUAAAUCUUAAGUAUUGCUGAAUUGGGAAUUGUCGAGCAUAUUGAGAAAUAAACUGAGUUCCUUUUUAUUAUCCAUCCUGUGAUUUGCUCGUAUUCUUCUUAAGUCUUCUAGCGCUUUCUUUCUACUUCACUUAUUCAGUCAUUCAUGGUAUCUGAAUGCACUGUUUACUCUUGCAGUACAUUUAAUUCCUCUCUUUCAUGUCAGUAAAAGCAGGAGGGUCAAGCUCUCACACAAGGUACUCAUCUCAAGCUGUCAGAAUUUGAGUCCAGCUCCAUGAGUGGAGUCCAGCUCCGUGUGUGGAGUCCAGCUCAGUCAUCGAACAGCAUGACCUCGAUGACUUGGAGUGUAGCGUGUGCAAAUUCCAGCCUCUGUUCCACUAGCCUCGGCCAUUUUCACAGCUCUCAUACACAUGUGCAGGCCAGGCUGAGGCGUAUGGAAUGUGACCCGUGUUUAAGAGCAGCCAAAGGCUCCAAAGGCCGUCCGGAGUUGUCUCUAUGAUCAAGUCUUUAUUGUGUCCUAAACAGCAGUGGUUCCUUUGAUGAACCUGAUGGAAUGCACUGAUCCUGCGUGAAUUUUUCCUCUCAAAAUUUUAGCACCUAUUAAUCCUGAUGACCAGUGCUAAGCACAAACUCACCUCAUUAUUGCUAGUCAUUUCUGGUUUUCAGUUUGCUUGUGGCCACACGUGGCUAGUUUGUCCAAAGGCUCUUUCUCCAGGGACACAGUCCAGCCAGAAAUGUGAAACACUCCAGUCCCUUUCCCUUUGCUGCUCUGCAGGUGAGCUGCAGGUGUUUGCUAGCCCAAAGCUACUGUCAUCCGCUAGCAGACGUGUCUGAGGUUGUUGGACACUCAAAAAGCCUCAGGCCAGCCAGCUGCCUGUCAUCCUAUCUAUGGCUGGCCAGAUACAGUUCAACUAUAUCCAAAUAGUAAUCCACAAAAUAUGCAUUUAACAGAACUAAGGCAUAUGCAAGUCUUCAAACAAUAGAUCAUUCAGAAUUACUCGAAGUAUUACUGGUUAUUAAGUUCCUACUGUGGAAUUUUCCCGAUAGAAUUGUGUCUUUAACUUUCUUACUGUCUUUGUGUGGAAACAAAACAGAAUAAAGGAUCCUAGAUGUUUGUUUGGCACUCGUUUAAUACAAUUUCCUGAGUAAUGCUUUGGAUGCCAAGUAUGAACGUUGCAGAAAACCGUGUAAACACUCGACUGGGAGUGAUCAACCAGAUGUGACCGUGCUUGCAUACACCGAACAAGCAUUCCCGAACCUCACUUGUGGAUGACAGAUGAUUAAGAGGGGGUUCCUUAAUUAGACAAAUGACUUGCUCGAUUAAUUGUGAACCUGUGAGCAUCGCAUGGAUUGCUGCUUUGGCUGCCCUGAUUGACUGCUCUCAUAUUUAGGCUGGGCUGACAAGCUGGGGUGUGUGUGUGUGUGUGUGUGUGUGUGUGUGUGUGUGUUGCUCACAUGACCAUGCCAAUCUGCAGUCAAGUAGCUGUAGCCAUUUCCUAGUGUGUCAUUCUUGCUAGAGCUCACUAUAAUAAUGGAGGCGUUUUCAUAUGAUUCAUUAUUCGUGUAUUAUUAUUAUUAUUAUUAUUAUUCACAUCUCUUAAAUCAGUGGCGACGCUGCCACCUGUUUCCUGCUAAAUGACACAGAAUAGGGCGUUUCUGUGCCCUCAAUCUGUCUAGAUGAUAUAAUCAAAUCCUUAAUGCCUAGUAAUGGAUAAACAUGGAAUUCUUAUGAAAUAUAUUUGCUAGUGCUGCAUGUUGAUGGUUAAAACGAUAAUCAUAAAUAUUCAUCCCUAUUAUUCAGCCAAAUUAGGAAACUAAAUAGUUUUACUGCACUUUCUCUUAUCAUUUAAGUUAAUGAAAACAUAUUUAUAAAACUCCUUCAAAUGUAUAACCUAUUGAUUCAAAAUAAGAUGGAUCCUUAGUCUUAUUAAUCAUUUUGUAAAAAUUUUUUUCUUUUUCAAAUAUCAACGCAGUAGGAAAUCAGUGCUGUUGCAGGUCAUGCGUACUUGUCUGGUGAGCUUGAGUUUUGCCGUAACUGUAAAACUGUCAUACUGUGUUGGUUAGACAGCAUAAACACAAGUAUGAUGGGGUUGUGAUUUAACAUGUCGGAAUCAAUAAACACUGAUAUUUAGUUAACCAAUUAGAUAACUUCGACUGCUCGCACCCGCGACACAGCGGGCUGUGCUUAAUUAAUUAAGGAAGCUGAAAUUUGUGAUCACAAUUAAAUGAUUUAUGAAAUGCAGUCUCUGUGUGGAUCAGAAGUGGGUCAUGUUGUGUAGGGGAGAGAAGAAAAUGGGCACUGAUAUGAUUUGUGGUCUCAGUGGCAGGAGGUUAUUGAGCUGAACAGAUUUAAAUGUUAGCCUGCUGUGUUCUCUUUCUGUUACCAGAGCUCAAAUAGGUUAGGAUUUAGAAAAAAAACAAACCUACAAGUGGCAGUUAAAGGAUUAUAAAAGGACCAGCAAUUAUUAUAACAGGGCUAACAAUGACUGUUUUGAUUAUUUCUAGUAUUUUCAUGAAUCUCUCACCAGACAAGCUAGAGUGCUGAAUUGUCAGCAGUCGCGUUCAUACAGGGUUUUUUUUUCCCCACCUGCAUUCUUAAGAUAACACUGGAUUGACCCGCCCUUGAUACUGCACCACAUGGAAGUGCCUCUCCUUUAUUCUCCAGGGAGUGGGUGGAGGCAGUAGAACUGCAUUUACAGGCCUUCAGUCGUACUUCUGCAGGUGAGGCCGCGAAAGCUUUACUUUGUGUUUGCUCAGUGCUCAUUGAUUGCUGGGUAAUCACACAGCAGCACAAGACUGCUAAAAAGCUUUGUUGGGAGGCUUGUGUGAAUAAACCAUGAAUCCCUUCGCCUUAGACAAAUCUGGAAUUGACCUGCAGAUUGCCAUGGUUUGUUACAGGGCUUGUCAAUAUUGUGCAGGAUGUUUGAUUCAAUUUUUUUGGUUCAUGUUCAUAUAAAUGCCAAAACUCUUGAGUGGCUGCUUUUGCUAUAGAUUUUCCUUUGUUGCACUGAAGUACUCGCUAUAAAUAGCAAUGUCUACACUGCAUACUAAAUUUAUUAUGGUGUAAGAAAUUCUCUUCCGGUUUCCAGCAGGGUUCCAAAAUUUCAAUCCCAGCUAAGUUUUUUGCUUGUUUUAAUAUGGAUUUUAGAUUUUAAAUUGUUUUCACUGUCGAGCCAACCUACAUUUUUUUUUUAUUCCGAGAUGAAUGCUUAUGACGCACAGUUCUGCUUUGUGUAUUAUUAUUAUUAUUUUUUUUUUUUUUUAAAGUUCUGAACCAUCAGUUCCUAUUGUAAAGCUGUAUUCAUGAUGGACACAGGGAUGCACCGAAAUUUCGAAAGAUAAGGAAGGCUGAAAACAAAAUGUAUAGAAAAUGUAUGGCACCGCGACCGCCACUCAGUGCUCAGCGCUUGGAUUUCACUCUCGAUGUAGCCGACGGUUAUCGAUGCAUCGCAACGUUACUAGAGCUGCAAUUUAAAGAACGUUACUUUGACGUAGAGAAAAAGCGGCGUCCACGGGAAGUGAUGCAGGCAGAGUUGGAGGUGAUGAAUACAUCUGCUGAAGGAUCGACACGCAGCACAGAGCAAAGUGUGCCAGAGAAAUGGGUGCAUACAAGUGGCGAUGAAUUGAUUUUAAAAAAAAAAAAAAGAGAGAGAGAGUCUAAUAUUAAUACAAUUCUACAAAAACCUUUUUGAAUUAUGUCCUGAAUUUUCGAUUUCGGCCCAGAAUUUUCCUUUCGGUGCAUCACGAAUCCACAGCGGUUUUAAUGAAAUAUUCACUAAACAAGUAAUCAACAGGGUAUAGAUUCUUGAUUCUGUGUGACUCAGUGAUUCAGUGAUUAUACCCCUUGUCUGUGUUCAGCUUUUUGUUGAGCUCGGAGGCUGUUGUGACUUCAGCCAUUGUAUAAAGGCCUAUUCAGGCUGAACAUGAAUGAUUUGCACAGAAAAAAAAACUAAACACACACACAUUGCGAGAUUUUAAAACAAAUACAGGGAUCUAUGCUAGAGCUGGGCGAUAUGGUCAAAAAUAUUAUCACAGUAUUUUUCUUCAUAUAAUUUGAUAUUGAUCUUUAUCAUGGUGUACAUUUACAUUUGUACAUUGCACUUUUUUUUUGGAAUUUCCAAGUUGCCAGCCAUAGUUCUUUAAAAAGAAAGCAAGAUCAAUCUUAAACAGUCAGGAUAGUCUCUUCAGAACUGCACUGUGGGCCCAGAGACUGUCAAAGCAAUGGGGUUUGAAGUGUACCAAAAAGUUCUAUCUAUCUAUCUAUCUAUCUAUCUAUCUAUCUAUCUAUU